GGUUCGGAUAAUACCCAUAACCCGAAAUACCACAAAACAAGACCCAUUUGGUAUUUAUGUCGGGUUCGGAUCGGUUCGGAUUCAUUUUUAUCGGAUCGGAUUCGGUUCGGGUUUUCGGGUUCGGUUUAUUUGCCCAGCCCUAGCUGAAAGAACCAUUAAUUUUUCAUAAUCGUUUUAUUGUAUUCUGCUAUGAUGUAAUAUGUUCUUAAUCACUUUUAAUAAAACAAAGUGUGAAAAAAAUAAUCUAAACCAAAUCUAUAUUAGUUAAUCCUAUGAGUAUAAUUGUCUAUUUACCUCUUUAAUAAAAUAUUUUUGUUAUUUUGACUUUUAUUUGCUAUAUUUAUGAUAAAAAUAUGUUUGGAAUCAUCCUAUGGAUUUUCUCUUACAAAUAUAUUGAAUUUUAUCAUAGUAAAUUGAAAAUGAAAAAGGUAGCACUUAACUUUUAAAAGACACUUUGAACCUGAUUGUUUUUGUUUUAAAGUAAAUAAUUUUAAAAAUUUAAAAAUACUUUGUUAUGCAUUUUUCAAGUUUUGAUUAUGAUGGGUAAAAAUAUAUUGAUUGAUUCGAUGAACCACACCUGACCCGUUAAAGUUGUACUGAACCCAAACCACACUAGGCAAAAAUACUCGAAUGGUCCACAAUUUUAAUAUCCGAAAAUGGAACUAGACCGACUUGAACCAAAACAUUUUGAGUAUCCAAAAAUAUAUAAAUCAUAAUUAUAUAUUUAAAUAUAUUAGCUUAUUUUUAAAGCUAGUAUCUAAAAUCAAAAAUAUAAAAUUACUUGGAAUCAUCCAAAUGCUAAUAUAUUUAUUUUUAAGCGCAAAAAUAACUUAUACUAAAGUUUUACUUUAUUAGAAAUAUAAUCAUAUAAUUUUGGAAGUUCAUAUAUUCUUGUUCUAAUCAAAUCUUUUAAAACUGCCAAGUUUAUGAUAUUAAUAAAUGAUUGUUAUUAAUGGAUGAUGCAAAAUAUAUAGAAGUUAUUUUAAAGUUUGACUAAAGGUACAAUAAUGCUUUUACACCAGGAAAUCUUGGUUUUGAUUCCAAACAAAGAUGAAUUAUGCAGAAUAUUAAAAAUCAUUAAUGCCUCAAAUAAAAAAUUAAAAUUAAAAUAUGAAAUAAUAUACAUUUUAGAUUUUUACACAUACUAAUAAAGCAUGUUUUCUCUGUUUUAUAAAGAGUGCCAUUUGACAUUUUUUCUUGUUAUACAAGAGUGUCAUUUUUGAAUUUAAUGCAAUUUAUAUUUACUUGGAGCUUAAUAUUAAGUACAUAUGCAUUGAUCUUAAAAAUAGUUUUAUUUAUAUCUAAUAUUUUUGGUUAAAUAUGUGUAAUUAAUAAUAACAUAGAUGUAUUUCAAUUAUUUUUUUAAUCUUUGUUCUUUGCGAAACAAAGGAAGUAAAAAAUCUAUAGUUAUAAAAAUAUGUUUGUGAUUAUCUAUUUCCUAUAAUUCUAACCAAUAAAAUUUCAAAUUUACUUUUUGAAAUUUACAAUUAAUCAUUAUUAGUUUAAAUGCAUUAAAAGUACAAAAUAUAUCUUCUUAAACAUUGUUUUCUAAAACUUGCAUUUUAUAAAAAUAACGGAGUAAUAACCAAUGAUAUAUUGACAUAUUUAUUAAACAAAUAAUGGAUUAUCUAAUAAAAUAUUAAAAUUUAUAUUUUUAAUAUGCAUAAUAAAAUAACUAAUCUCUAAAAAAUUACAUUUGUGAAUUGUAGAAAAUUGUAUAAAGCUAUAGAUUUGAAACCGCUUAAUUAUUUAAGAAAAUGAAAAAAAAUAUAGAUAAAAAAUUUAAAUUUACAUAUUUCCUUUUGUUUUAAGAGCGAAAACAUUAAAACUGAUUUAAAAAGAAAAUUAUUAUAAUUGAUGAUGCAUAUACACUUUUUCUCUAACCUUCAUUUCUCUAACUUUCUUUACUUAAAGUAACACAAAACUUUUUUUUAGAUCUUGGCCCCUCCGGUACUUUUGUUAAUUGGUGAUACAUAUAAAUCAGAGAAAUUUUGUAGGAUAGUACUAAAAGAUUUUUAAUCAUAAAUUUAACACAUUAAUAUUAUUAAAACAUAAGACCAUUUUUUAAAGUACCCUUCUGUUUCAACAAUAUUUACAGAUUCAUGUCACUGGAACAUUUAAAACCUAUGGUUUUUAUUUAUAAUAGAUUCCACGAUUUUCCUUAUAAUGCAACACCUUUAAAAAAAAACCUUUCCCCUUUUAAUGUAACUAAACAUUUAUAACCGAUCACAUUAUGUAUGCAAUCAAAACUGUACAUAUUAUUAAAACCAACGGGAUAAUUUCUUGAAUACACUUAUUUUCAUUGGUUAAAAAUAAAUGUACCAAUUUUUUUAUGGAACUUAAAUCAUCAUGUUCCAUCAACCCUCAUGUUUCAACAUUUAAGGUUUUACCAUAAUUAUUUAAUACGAGCCUAAGAAUUUACUAACUGAACAAACCCUAAAUUAUACAAACUCUAAACCCUUAAAUACAAAAAAAGUUAAUUAAUUUAACAUAUGAUUAUACACAUAAUAUAAAGCUAACUAUAAUGAAAGCUAAAACUAUUUAAAAUAUGAUUAUACAUAGAAUAUUAAGCUUAUAAUUGUUUCCAGUUUAUGAAAUUUUUUGUCAAGUUUACAAUAGAUAUUUGAUUUACUAAUAAUUGAUUAUUAGAAUCAUUGUAAUCUCCAAUUAUAUACUGAGUAUAUUCCUAACCCAAUCCCGUUGUAAUAGUUUUCAUAAUUGUUGUAAUCUUCAAUAAUAAAAUAAAUAUUAUUUAGCUGAAUAUUAUUAAAAUAUUGCUUUCUCAAACUUGAUCAACAAGCAAUAUCAUUUAACCCAGCGAAACAUAACGUCAGUACGCUCCUAAAUAUAUGGUAUUUUUUUAUUAUUCUUAAUCUAUUAUUUAAUUCUUGAAAAUAGUUUUAGGCAACAAUCAUGAUCAAAUGUGCCAUGUAAAUAUAGUUAAUAUUGUUUUACAAAUUAUGAGCACCAAAUAUACUCAUUUUAGAAAAUCAUAUCCAGAAAUAUUGAUACAAGUAAAUACAAACUAUAUUUUGAUUCACAAAAUCUACCAAGUUUCAAAUUUAGAAUAUUUUAGAAUAUGCUACACGUUAUUUCCUAAAUAUUGAACUUACCUAUACACCUAAAGUUUUUCAUAUUAUAAAUAUGACACCGUCGACACUCUUAUGAAACAAAUUUUUUCUCAACCCUUUUGACCUUACGCUUUUUACCUUAUGGGUUCUACUAUACAAAUCAAGAUGGUUGGCUCAUGUAAAAUUGCUACAGUCUUGGAAACAAAACACUAACUUAUUAGGCGAAACCAUGGAGUUCAUCCUAGCUGAUGAGAAUAAGGGUCACAAAAUCCAUCCCUCAUUCAAGAAGACAUACCUAAAGAGUUAAGGAAGGCUUCUUCCGGUUGUAGCAUGGAUAAACACCUAGAAUUUUAACCUGAGUACUGCACCAGAAAUGUAUCGGUCAACAAAUAAUACAUACAAGAUGGGGGUUUGCAGAAGAAUUUACCAAUUUUUCAUUGGUUAAAAAAUAAAUGUACCAAUUUUUUUUUAUGAAACUUAAAUCAUCACAUUCCAUCAACCCUCAUGUUUCAACAUUUAAGGUUUUACCAUACUUAUUUAAUACGAGCCUAAUAAUUUACUAACUGAACAAACCCUAAACUAUACCCUUAAAUAUAAAAAAUGUUAAUUUAUUUAACAUAUGAUUAUACACAUAAUAUAAAGCUAACUAUAAUGAAAGCUAAAACUAUUUAAAAUAUGAUUAUACACAGAAUAUUAAGCUUAUAAUUGUUUCCAAAUUAUGAAAUAUUUGUCAAGUUUACAAGUUUUGAAGUUUACAAAAGAUAUUUGAUUUACUAAUAAUUGAUUAUUAGAAUCGUUGUAAUCUCCAAUUAUAUACUGAGUAUAUUCCUAACCCAAUCCCGUCGUAAUAGCUUUCAUAAUCGUUGUAAUCUCCAAUAAUAAAAUCAAUAUUAUUUGGCUGAAUAUUUUUAAAAUAUUGCUUUCUCAAACUUGAUCAACAAGCAAUAUAAUUUAACCCAACAAAACAUAAUGAUUGCUAGAUACACUCCUAAAUAUAUGGUAUUUUUAUUAUUCUUAAUCUAUUAUUUAAUUCUUGAAAAUAGUUUAAGGCAAUAAUCAUGAUAAAAUGUGCCAUAUAAAUAUAGUUAAUAUUGUUUUCCAAAUUAUGGUCACCGAAUAUACUCAUUUUAGAAAAUCAUAUCCAGAAAUAUUGAUACAAGUAAAUAAAAACUAUAUUUUAAUUCACAAAAUCUACCAAGUUUCAAAUCCCUUUAUUAUUAUUUGAGAAGCAUUAUAGAUAACUAACCUUUAGCUCAUGUGUUAUUUUCAAAAUUGUCAUUUCCUACGUGGCAACACCACAAGCUCUCUCACACCUUAUAUUCAAAAACUCUUUAUUAACUAGACUAAUUACAAUAAUUGCCAUUGCUUGCUAUUGCUUGCCAUUGAUCAUUAGAUUAUAACUUUAUAAAUACACUAUAAGCUUCUUCAUUACAAUGACUAACAAAAAAAAUUGACGUCCAUGUUUAAUGCGUUGUCAUUAUUAUUCAAACUUACGGGCAUAUAGUCAUUUAUUCCCAUUUUUAUUCAAACUGAUUCGGUCGACAAAGUUAAUUAUAUAUGAGAUAACGAUUUUGUAGAUAGUAUAAUUUUAUACAUAUAUAUAACAAAAAAAGUAUAAUUUAUAACAUGUGUAUGUGGACCAUCUAUAAUGAUUCAGAUUAUACCAUUAUGUGCAUAUGUAUCUGAUUUCAUGUAACGAAAUAUUACCGUUAAAUUUAUAAUCUCUUCACAAUGUUAGCAGAACUCUAACAUAUGUUAUAAAUUAUACUUCUUAUAGUUAAUAGUUAAAUAGAUUGAGACAAAAAUAUAUGCACACGUUUUUACAAGUAUUCAUCAUAUAUCAUUUUAUAAUUUGUUAUAAACGAAAUCUAAAUAUAAUGUCUAACUAUAGUCUAAUUCAAAAACAAAAUGUCUAACUAUAGUGUCUACAAAUUAAUUCCGUUUAAGGACUUAUCGUAACAACGGGAUGUCUAACUAUUACGAAAUCACGAUGGCCCAUAUAAUUCCGUUUAAGGACUUAUCGUAAUUGUAAUCAUAAACCGUGAUUAAUGAUUUUACGAAAUCACGUUGUCUAACUAUUAAUAUUAAAAAGAAAUGUGAUUUGCAAUAACUUUAUUCAAAUCUGGGUGAAAAUUAAAAGGAAACUUCUAAUAACGUUGCAAUAUAUAUGAAAGUUAAAAGGAAACUUCUAAUAAUUUUAAUUGUUCUAUCUCUUAAUGAAAUGUGAUUUGAAAGGACAACCGUGAUUAAUGAUUGUUAAAAGAAAACUUCUAAUAACUUUAAUAUAUUUUAAAUUACAAAGUUCGAAACGUUUUGGUAAUAAUACUUGAAUCAAAUCCGCCAUUAUUUUUGAUAACUUUUUUGGAAAUAAUAGGGAGUCGAUUAUGGUUAAAACAUUUUGUCAACUAUUAAUAUGUUGGAUAUAAUGAAGUUAGAUUAUGGAUUCAAAUUAUUCGAAUCAAUUAAUAAUCGUGAAUUUUAUUCAUUUAGUUCAAUUGUAAUUUAUAAAAAGAAGUUUAAUUAUAGUGUCUACAAACUUAAGGUAAGUUACGAUUACGAAUGGAGCCCAAGUUAUGUUAAAUUAAAUAUGUAAUAAUAUCUUUAAUUACAGCCAUUAUUUUGUGUAUCAUUAGUCACAUGGGCGCUGACUUCUUAAUAUAAAUAUAUGUUCUCUACAAUUCAUCGACUCACCACACACUUCUUCUCAACUUCCUAAUUAUCAAAACAUUCUCUCAAGCAAACAAAUGGCUGGCUUUAACUCCGUUUCAGAAAUUGGUAUAUCAGUUCGUUUAGUGAAAUUUUUAAGUAGGUAUGUUUAGUUUGGUAAACUAAUUCUUAGUUAUUUCUCUCUAUAGGAUUGCAAACAAGGAGUUCUGAAGACCAUUUUCGUGGCAUCUUAGUUUUAUCAGUUUUUUAUUUGUUUCCUUAUAAUUCAUUUCUUUCGUAUUUUUUUUUUCUAUUACUUAUGUUUUUUCAAUAUUAUAAUCAUAAUUUUUAUUAUGAAAUCAAAAAUUCUAUUUCCUAUGUUUUGUUUUGUCUUAAAUUCAUAAUAAAUUAAUAAAAGUUAUUACAUAUUAUUAUAUUUUUUUUACAUAAAAUACAUAUAAUUUACACAUAACCAACUACACAAAAAAAAUAUUUUCAAAAAAAAAAAUCUUUUACGAAAAAAAAACACUUAAGCUUACAUUAUAUAUACAUUCACACUUUUGUUCCAUAUAUAUUAUUAGAUCUAAUAUUUGUGCCUAUAACUUUAAAAUUUCUAAUAUCUAUAAUUUUUUAAAAAAAAAUCUCUUUUGGUCAUUUACACCGCGCAUGGCGCGGAUUAUCACCUAGUCUAGAUUAUUUUAGAAUAUGCUACACGUUAUUUCUUAAAUAUUGAACUUACCUAUACACCUAAAAUUCUUCAUAUUAUGAAUAUGACACCUUCAACACUCUUAUGAAACAAUUUUUUUCUCAACCCGUUUGACCUUAGCUUUUUACCUUAUGGAUUCUACUAUACAAAUCGGGAUGGUUUGUUUCAAAAAAAAAAAUCGGGAUAGUUGGCUCAUGUAAAAGUGCUACACUCUUGGAAACAAAAAUACUAACUUAUCAGGAGAAACCAUGGAGUUCAUCCUAGCUGAUGAGAAUGUAAGUGUUUUUACUAACAACCUAUAUAUUUCUCAAAACAAUCUUUAUCAACUCAUAUAUUUUAUGCUGGAUUCAUUUUUACAAACAUAACUUUUGUAUUGGUAGAUGGAACAUAUAGAAGGGUCACAAAAUCCAUCCCUCAUUCAAGAAGACAUACCUAAAGAGUUAAGGAAGGCUUCUUCCGGUUGUAGCAUGGAUAAACAUCUAGAAUUUUAACCUGAGUACUGCACCAGAAAUGUAUCGGUCAACAAAUCAUACAUACAAGAUGGGGGUUUGCAGAAGAAUUUAAGAACUCGUGAGUCAUUCUAAAUUUAGUUUGAUUUUAAAUAUCAGUGGUUUAACUAAUCUUUUAUAUAUUUAAAUUCAGAUUCAAUGAUGAGGAAAGAGCGAUUACAUUGUUUGAAACUAAUGAAGAAAAUCUUGAAAAAGAUUGCAAUAAGCUUGAGCAAUCAGAGAAGAGUUAAGCGUGAUAAAUGGUUACUCAGUUUGUUUUCUUUUUAACUCUGAUAAUGCAUAUAAAGGAAAGGAAACAAACACCACCAUCGUUCAGACUCAAAAGAACAGAGACUGUUCCUCACCAAAACACGUAAUGGUUACUCAGUUUGUUAUAGUCAAUUAUUUAUUUGCAAUAUUUUAUUUAAUUGUAUAGAUAUCCAAUUUACUGAUUAUGUUUUACUAAAGUAGUACUAAUAUAGUUCUGCUGUGAAUAAUACAUUAUCUUUUGUUUUUGGUUUUGGCGAAAUUUCAUCAUUUUACUUAUUUUUCACAUUCGGAUGCGGGGCAUGCAGUACGGAGAUGGUCCUGCUAAAGCCACAUAAUAUAUCAGAAAGUCUAAUACACUGGUUGCUCAAAAAAAAAGAGUCUAGUACACUGAAAGAUUUUUACGAUUGUAUCAACGAAAUUAUCUUCUAUGGUGGUAGUAAUGUUUCACUUUAAAUUAUUUCCUACCAGGCAGGCGAAGAAGACAACCAAUGAUCUUUAUUCUUUCAAACACCUAUGUAAAUAAAAAAGUUACAGAAUAUUGUGUUCCUUAAUCACAAAUACAAAAGCAUUCAUACAUCCUAUUAACAAAUGAUAAAUUGGAGGUUUAUAAGAAUCAUUAGGAGUUUGUUAUCUUCGUAGCAGUAUAACCAAUCUUGACUAAGACAAAAGUGUAAUGGUGUAUUUCUUAUAAUCUUCUCUGUUCAGCUAUUUGCAUUACCAAAUGACCUGAAUACACAUUUGUACUUACGGUUGAGUGACUUGUGGGCAAAUCAAAAUUAAGUUCCGAAACCAUUGAAGUUGUUCUGAGAAGUGAUGGAGAAGCUUUAUUAACAGUUACCUUUGUUUGUUUCUUCAGAGGUCUUAAAGUCUCCCAUCUAUGAUACAGAUGAUGUUCGUCCAGUCCGGUUCCAUUCAAAAUAUUUCAGAUCUAAGAAACUCUUCAUCUGAAUGUUAGGAUCUGUGAAAAGAAAACCCUUUUCUGUUAUGAUCUGUGAACAAAGAUAAAAUUUUAUUAUUUUGUAAGUGAUCGAACCAAAACAAUUUAAGUUAUAGAUUGUUCGUCGGUCAAGAGCCGUCUCUCUGGUCUUUUUUCCUUUCUUCCUUUUUCUGUUUUUUUUCUUUUACUUAGAUAAAGUAAAUGGUCACUUUUAGAUGACAGAAUUGUUGUACUCAAAUAUAUAUCAUGUACUGAAACUGGAAAAGAGUACCCUAGAAAUGAUAUACAAGGGAAGAUAUUUUGAGGAAAUGAGUAUAGUUACGAAGGCCAAAGAAGAUGCAGGGGAUUGGAGAGACAGGAAACAGGGAGAAUGUAAUGAGGCUAAGAGCAGAUGAAGCAAAAACCACAUCAUCAAUAAACAGCAAGCUGUUUGGAAACCCCCGGUGACACACUGGUUGAAAUGCAAUGCCGAUGGCUCAUGGCAUAAUCAAAGAAAUACCAGUGGAGUGGGAUGGAUUUGUAAAAACGAAAAGGGGCAGAUGAUUUAGGAAGGCGCAAAGGCAGUGACGAGAUUGGGAUCCAGCAAUGAAACGGAGGCGGAAGCUUUAAAGUGGGCAGCAAGUAUGAUUGCUUCAUUUCAGUACAAGAAUGUUGUGCUUGAAACAGACUCCCUAACCUUAACAAGAAUGGUGAAUGGAGAUGAAGAAGUGUGGCCUAUGUUGCAGCCUACGAUUGCUGUGAUCCAUCAUUAUUUGUCACAGGUUCAGAACUGGAAAACGAGUUAUAAUCCAAGAGGAAGGCAGCUGACAGGAUAGAGAAGGAGAUUUUUACAUUCAUGUCUAAUGUCCCUAAACUAUACUCCGUAGUACAAAGAUGGCUGGAAAAUUAUGUAGAAGCUGAUAGACUCAUGUAAGAAGAACAAGUUGGCUAAUGCAAGUUGAUUAUGAGUUAAAAAAAUGACCGAAUUAGGCCACCAUUAGUGGUAAGUUCUCACUAGGUACGUCAUGAUUAUUAUCCUUUAUAUAUUAAUUGAGAAACAUUACAACAUUGUUUUAUAGCUACGUGUCAUGAGAAUGAAAUUCAUAAUUCUUAGAAAAAUAGGUUGGUUCAUCUUAAUUUAUAUUAUACUUUUUAUUAAACUAAGUAUUAAAUUGAUAAAUAGUGUACAAAAGAAUAAUCAUGCACUUUUCUUAAAUAAAAAUUACGGAAUUACCUAAUAUGAUUAACGUAUAUAUGACAAUUAAUGUUUAUGAAUAAUAAAUAUUUUAUAAUAAUUUUUGUAU